rnacentral:rRNA from 1 species
CGCUGGCGGCGUGCUUAACACAUGCAAGUCGAACGAUGAACCACUUCGGUGGGGAUUAGUGGCGAACGGGUGAGUAACACGUGGGCAAUCUGCCCUGCACUCUGGGACAAGCCCUGGAAACGGGGUCUAAUACCGGAUACUGAUCCUCGCAGGCAUCUGCGAGGUUCGAAAGCUCCGGCGGUGCAGGAUGAGCCCGCGGCCUAUCAGCUAGUUGGUGAGGUAACGGCUCACCAAGGCGACGACGGGUAGCCGGCCUGAGAGGGCGACCGGCCACACUGGGACUGAGACACGGCCCAGACUCCUACGGGAGGCAGCAGUGGGGAAUAUUGCACAAUGGGCGAAAGCCUGAUGCAGCGACGCCGCGUGAGGGAUGACGGCCUUCGGGUUGUAAACCUCUUUCAGCAGGGAAGAAGCGAAAGUGACGGUACCUGCAGAAGAAGCGCCGGCUAACUACGUGCCAGCAGCCGCGGU